rnacentral:rRNA from 1 species
AGAGUUUGAUCCUGGCUCAGAAUCAACGCUGGCGGCGUGCCUAACACAUGCAAGUCGAACGAGAAAGGGGAGUAAUCCCUGAGUAAAGUGGCGCACGGGUGGGUAACACGUGACUAACCUACCCUGGAGUGGGGGAUAACUGAGGGAAACCUUAGCUAAUACCGCAUAAUACCUACGGGUCAAAGGAGCAAUUCGCUUUGGGAGGGGGUCGCGGCCGAUUAGUUAGUUGGCGGGGUAAUGGCCCACCAAGACAGUGAUCGGUAUCCGGCCUGAGAGGGCGCACGGACACACUGGAACUGAAACACGGUCCAGACUCCUACGGGAGGCAGCAGUGGGGAAUUUUGCGCAAUGGGGGAAACCCUGACGCAGCAACGCCGCGUGGAGGAUGAAGUACUUCGGUACGUAAACUCCUUUCGAUCGGGACGAUAAUGACGGUACCGGAAGAAGAAGCCCCGGCUAACUUCGUGCCAGCAGCCGCGGUAAUACGAGGGGGGCAAGCGUUGUUCGGAAUUAUUGGGCGUAAAGGGUGCGUAGGCGGUUUGGUAAGUCUUGUGUGAAAUCUCCGGGCUCAACUCGGAGUCUGCAUAGGAAACUGCCGGGCUUGAGUGUGGGAGAGGUGAGUGGAAUUUCCGGUGUAGCGGUGAAAUGCGUAGAUAUCGGAAGGAACACCUGUGGCGAAAGCGGCUCACUGGACCACAACUGACGCUGAUGCACGAAAGCUAGGGGAGCAAACAGGAUUAGAUACCCUAGUAGUCC